AGGUAGACACUGAAUUCAUAGAGCAGACAAAGAAAGCAUGGGAGGUUAGCUCUGAGUUCCAAGAAUAAAGUAAAGCCAAGUGCCUUCAUGAAGCCCCCAUAAUGUUUGUAAUAAAGCUCACCACUGGGCUUUCUGGCCUCAGUUUCUUCAUCUGCAGAAUCCAUGGGCUAGCCGUGAUUAUACUUAAGGCUAAUACUUUACCCUGAAUAUUCAGGUUCUAGGUAUAUGCUUCAUUAAAACUAUCUAGGGCCUCAGAAGUUUAGAAUUCUGAUUUCGCAAAAUUCUGAUAAAAAAUAAAAUGUGUGAACAUGAGGGCAGCAAUCUUGGUAAUAAGGAAAAGCCUGGGGUAGGGCUGGAAACCUCGUAGGCACAGAGGCCCUCCAAGAGGUCCCUUCCCAUUGAUCGGGCCGGGCUAGGGCAGUCACAGCGUGCUGGUCUGGUGGAGUUUAUGCAGCAACACAAACAAGAAACGCAGCAGCAGGGACAGAAAAUCCCCAUGAAGUCUGCCUUCUGCAACUAACUCUCGGUCCACCCCUCUCCACAUCUUGGUCUUCCCUUCCCAACCCCAUUCACAUCCUUCCAGGGGAGAACGUGCAAGAAAUUUCUCCUUUCCUGCAAGCAAAGGAAUCCAGUAGUGCCACCUUGGUCAGAAUGGCCCUUUGUUCUGCUGUUUAAUGACUAAUUAUGAUGCUAUGAGAGGCAUACACAACUCUGGCAGAGCCAGGCCCUCCUGCUCCAGCAGGGCUGAGCGGCUGGAAGUGUGUAAUCUUCGGAAAGCUGUGACUGCGACCUGGAGUUGCGUAAGAAAUAAUUACAGAAUCCAGCCAGGGCUUGCUUCUUGCCACAGGCUCCAGGCUUUUACCCCCGAUUGCUGACUGUGUGCAACUGCCGCAAGGGGUCAAAAGUGCUUGGUUUGCACAACAUCUCCCCGGCAUUCUUACACGUGUGGUUAUGGAAUCAGGGUGCAGGGAAGGGUCAUGGAGCAGAGGGAAUUGCAUGUGCUCGAUCUUUUUCACAUUGGAGCUGCUUUCUGAAACCCGGCACGGGGAAGGUGAGGGUGCUGGAUAGUUUGGGGGGGCCACAGAGUCCUGUGGGUGUUAAAUCUCGGUCCCCCUCUGGGGACUUGUCCUUGCAGGGUGCUCAUCCAGGCCUUAAAAGUUGGCAGCAUCCCCCAGGAACUACCCUGUGAACAAAUCCAGGCUUUCGGAAGCACGUGAUUCUGCAGAAAUGCCACAUUCUCUUCCACAUGGGCUGUGGGCUCUGAGUCCCCCUUUGCUUCCUCGGCCUAUGUACCUGCUGAAGAAGACAGUUGUGUCGUGUACAUGCAACCUAAGGAGGUAACCUUUUACCCAGCCUGAGACUUCAGAGGGUAUUCAUAUUGGGGACCAGCAGCCCGUGAUGUUUGUCCCCCAGAGAGGGGGAGAGAGCUGCUGCCUGCAGAGUGGCUGCUCCUGCUUUGCACGGCCCCUGGCUUCUGCAUCCCUCCAUCCUCCAGCUGGGCACAGAGGUUGCCAAAAGGGCCAGUAGGAGGAGAAGGCUUCAUGGAGGACGGGGGCAAGAGCGGGCCGACCAUGCUGGCUUCCUCGCCUUGUGUCUGGCUGACUGCACAGGCCUGAGGAGGUAACCAACAGCAGAAACAGCUCUGGACAAAUGAGCAAAGGAAGACUCGACUGAGUUUCCCCAGAAUGGAGAGGAGCUGAGGAAGCUCCAGGGCCCACAGCGGAAGCUGGUGGACCAUUUCACUAGGACCCUGGGAGCAAAUCAGUCUGACUUGUGUUUGGCCCCUGAAUCCCCCUGCUCAAGGCUCAGAGUCCUGGAGAAUUGAGGGCAACCCCCACAUUGCAUGCCAUGGAUGGUGGCUUCCCCAGGGGAGUCGGGGUGCUAGGACUAGAGCAUGCCUCCUACAAAUGUUGACUUCCCCAGAAAAAUACCAGCUCUCUUAAGUAAGGGUGGGUCUAUCUGUGGGGAUGAUAGGGUCACCCUUAUUAUUCAUACGUUCCCUGGGCCUGAGAACUUACCUGGAAUACACUUUGUUAAAUAGUAAUA
rnacentral:lncRNA from 1 species